rnacentral:rRNA from 1 species
ACCUCCAAUAACGUAUAUUAAAGUUGCUGCAGUUAAAAAGCUCGUAGUUGGAUCUCAGGGUACCUGGUCUAGCCGGUAUAGCUCAGGCUAAAACUGGUGUGACCCCCUAACGUGAGGUAUUCGUCUCCGGGUGCACUUCAUUGCAAAUGCUUUCGCUCGUGAGUGGCCACGUAGUUGCUGUGAAAAAAUUAGAGUGUUCAAAGUAGGUUCAUAUGUUCGGAUAGUCGUGCAUGGAAGAACUGAAAACGUGACUGGCGCGUUUCAGUUGGUCUCGGCGACUGGUCAAAUGAUUAAGAGGGACUGCCGGGGGCAUUGGUAUGGCGGGGUUAGAGGUGAAAUUCUUGGAUCCUCGCCAGAACAACAAAAGCAAAAGCAUGUGCCAAAAAUGUCUUCA